GUGACGCACCUGGUCUGGUCUUGCCACGCCAGCUCCACCGUCACGGCAUUCAUCGGCCGCAGGUCCUGAAAUGAAUCACUGCGAGAACCUCUGAUCUGUCGCCCUGAUUUCUGAUGCCGAACGCGGUGGAGAGAAAAUGUUUUAUUCAUCUCUAAUUUGCUGAGAUGGAGUGACCGGCGAAGACAGCGCCCUGAGGGACACUCUUUUGUUAGGUGCUAGCAGUAGGACUGCAUUAAGAAAUCAACGUUUCAGAUGCUGGUGGAACCCAGAGCCACACACACUGGAGGGAAUAUCUGAAGGAGGAACCCGCCUGCCACAGGCUGAAUCUUCCAAAGGUGGGACGUGAAGACAAGUCAAAAGUUGUCGAUGAAGACCAGAGUCCAAGAACAGUACUACAAGAAAUACUCAAACUUAAUUUAAACAAGGGAAUCUCUUUGUACAAAUUUUGUACAAUAAUACAUAUGUGAAGUGUUUGCAAGUCAGGUCAUCAAAGUUUAAAGAAAAGCAUCUCUUACAUCACAACACAAAAAAAAAAUUCUCUGGGUUGAAAAUGAUAAUUAAUCAAUAAGGUUGAAUUGAUUAGAGGAGGAAUUGAUUCUGCCAUCUGACCAUUUCUCCCUCAUUGCUCAGGUUAUCUGUAUGUCAGCUUGCAAGCCAUAAGAGACGUGACAUGAUUACUUUAGAUUUCUUAAAACACUGUGUGAAAAAGUGAGUAGAGAAGUUAGACAUGCUUAACUAAGGUACAAUAGAACUACUUUCCACCGGACCCACUUAUCUACAAAAAUAGAAACCGAAUGUAUGAAAGAGGCCAGGAGCAAAUUUAACAACAUUGAUUAUCUUAUCUUCAGAUGCCUAUGCUGACUUGUAUCCACUACACAAGAUAGAUGUGUAGAAGAUAGAAGGUUGUCUCCAUGGAGGCGGCAGCUCAGAAAUUAUAGGACUCUAUGGGAGUGCUAUGGGAGUCUCCUUAGGUCAGCGCUGGUUUGAUGGC
rnacentral:lncRNA from 1 species